UGGCUGGGAGGAACAGAUAAUGCCAAAUAGGGCAAGAGGAAUAGAAAGUGAGAGACAGACGGAUAAGUGAGGGACAGAAGUACUAGGCAGUCUGAGACACACGCAAGGAGAGGGGUGUAGGGAAAGUUACAUAGGGGAGCAGGAGGCGGAGCCGGAAAAGUUUGGAAAAGUGUAAACAGAAUCAUUUUUGUGGCUUGCAAAUGCCCAGGCACUGGCUGAUUGACAGCUGAACCCAGGACAACCACCUUAUCCCCCACCCAGACCCUGGAGGGAGCUGACAGGAAACUUCUUUUGCAAAGUCUUGCCCAAUGAUGGCGGUUUCGCUCUUUGUCUUAUGUUGCUCCGUCUUCAUCGCAGCGGCUCUUGGAUCUGAAACAGAUCAACAUGAUCCAUUCUACUAUGAUUACAUAUCACUGCGGAUCGGUGGUCUGGUCUUUGCCGGAGUUCUCUUCAUUCUGGGAAUUCUUAUCAUCCUGAGCAGAAAAUGUCGCUGUAAAUUCAAUCAACAUCAAAGAACUGGGGAGCCUAUAGAAGAGGAAGGAUCUAUCCGGGCUUCCAUUAGACGUUUGUCCAGCAGGAGAUUAUAGGGCUUUGCUGGAGGGGGUCAUUUAGCCCAGCUACGAUCAGGCACUCAGACAUCGCACGGGCGUUUGCAAGAUGUCUGAUUGCGCUAUUCCCCUAAGAGAAGGCCUUGUGCACGUGUAGAAUAAUAAUAGGACCACUUCCUGUACCCCUCACCCAACACCCUCACCUGAGAUCAAGAAACUACCACUCACCUGAGACCAAGAAGCAAGGAAUUCAUGAUCACCAUCCAUGUUAUGCAAAGGAUUAAACCUUCAGAGUAUAUCACGGCAUCUGGACUACCAACAAAUCUGGAAGGUUAUGCCACAAAGCGGAUAUUGGUGACUUGGUUAUGUUUGUACAUAUGCAGGAGAUCUUGGCCUCAGCAGGAUUCCUUAUUGCCUCUCACCCCACGCGUUUCUCAAGUGGUCACCGAAUGGACUCUACAGCAAACCCGUAAUGAGCUUCUAGGUCAUCGGCACUCUGCAUGAUUCUGUUUAUUAAAAGCCAGAUUGUUACAUAAUGUAUAUAAUAAGUCAUAAAAAGUAAUAUUGAUUUGGAUUAAUAUAUAAAUAUAAUAUAUUCAUAUUAUACGUGUAUAUACAUCAUAGAAAACAAGAAAGAAAAAACUGUAAUCCCCCGACUCUGAAUCAGUCAGACAAAAAAGUUGUUUUUAGUAGAAAGCUGUAAUGUAACUCAAUGCAGGAAAUAUGCAACCACUCACUAAUAAGCCACAGACCUGUAGUAUAUUGUAUUAAAGUUUACUUUUGGGA